UACGGAGGGGGCUAGCGUUGUUCGGAAUUACUGGGCGUAAAGCGCACGUAGGCGGCUUGUUAAGUCAGGGGUGAAAUCCUGGAGCUCAACUCCAGAACUGCCUUUGAUACUGGCGAGCUUGAGUUCGGGAGAGGUGAGUGGAACUGCGAGUGUAGAGGUGAAAUUCGUAGAUAUUCGCAAGAACACCAGUGGCGAAGGCGGCUCACUGGCCCGAUACUGACGCUGAGGUGCGAAAGCGUGGGGAGCAAACAGGG
rnacentral:rRNA from 1 species